rnacentral:sRNA from 1 species
AUUAGGUGUAUUCACCAGAACCAUAAGGAACUUUUUUUUAUUACUGUCAUAUUUCGGCCUUUUUUGUAUAUCCAUUGUGCCCCUACUAAACGUUACAGGAAAAAAUGUAAAUACAAGGAAUGCCACUGCCACGUCAGAAAUAGCUGAUGUGGAUUAAUGAACUCAUCCAUAAGGCGAUACAUUGGCAGAUACGGCUGAGUUACGGUAUGUUGCGGCUGACUUACGACAAAAAUAUAUGAGUUAUGACUUAUGAGAAAACGGUAGAAUUAUGAGUAUAACUCAGCCUACGUUAUGACUGAUUUAUAUAAGGGAUCUGAUUUAUAAAAUUUGUUUGAGUUAUGAAAUAACCUAGCCUACAUUACGACUAAGUUAAUG